rnacentral:rRNA from 1 species
UACGUAGGGUGCAAGCGUUAAUCGGAAUUACUGGGCGUAAAGCGUGCGCAGGCGGCUUUGCAAGACAGGUGUGAAAUCCCCCGGGCUUAACCUGGGAACUGCAUUUGUGACUGCAUCGCUGGAGUGCGGCAGAGGGGGAUGGAAUUCCGCGUGUAGCAGUGAAAUGCGUAGAUAUGCGGAGGAACACCGAUGGCGAAGGCAAUCCCCUGGGCCUGCACUGACGCUCAUGCACGAAAGCGUGGGGAGCAAACAGG